rnacentral:rRNA from 1 species
UACAAGUACCGUGAGGGAAAGUUGCAAAGCACUUUGAAGAGAGAGUUAAAGAGGACGUGAAACCGGUAAGGUGGAAACGGAUAGAGUCGGCGUAUCAUUCAAKUAUUCAGUUACAUUAUUUUUAUGUUGUGACCUCUGAGCUCCAGAUUGGGACAGAGGGAAUCAGCAUAAUUUUUUGUGGUGCAUUUACUUGAUUGGUGCUUGGGGAUGUUUGAGGCAGAUUUGUUUCCGUCGUUUUGAGGCCAGCUUGCUGGUACCCAAACGGUGUUAGCAUUUUUUGUCUUGGGCAUUUGAGUAUGGCUCACGUGCAUUUAUUGGACAGAUCUGAGUGUAAGUUACGGUCGCAUGCGACACGUGCUUUUCAAUUAGUUCGGUCCAGUUAAUGCUCUCGUACUCGUUCCCCAUGUAAAAGCCGGUCAUCUAUCCGACCCGUCUUGAAACACGGACCAAGGAGUUUAUCGUGUGCGCAAGUUUUUGGGUGUUAAAAACUUAAAAGCGAAAUGAAAGUAAAUGACUCUUUAGAGUCUGAUGUGCGAUCUUGUAAAAAAGUGUAGCAUGGCCCCAUUCUAACUGUUUACAGUAGGGUGGCGGAAGAGCGUACGCGGUGAGACCCGAAAGAUGGUGAACUAUUCCUGAGCAGGACGAAGCCAGAGGAAACUCUGGUGGAAGUCCGAAGCGGUUCUGACGUGCAAAUCGAUCGUCUGACUUGGGUAUAGGGGCGAAAGACUAAUCGAACCAUCUAGUAGCUGGUUCCUUCCGAGGAA